UAAGUAACCAGUGAAAUGUAGAGUAAUUUUAGAAAUGGUUUAGAAAGUACUUUUCAGUUUUGGAGCCUUCUAGUAACAGUAGUAGGUUUUUUUCCCCCUUUUCCCACCAAAAGUCUCAUAGUGCUGACUAAAAGGAGGCAUAAGUUUUUGAGGGAAGACUAACUUAAGAAGUAACUCACUGAAGAAAACAUUAAAAGGUAAACUGUGGCAUAUAAAAUUUUAAGGUAUUUGUUUGAGUGAACAGCAAUUCAUGAGUUGUACAGCUCCAGGCCAGAAGUAGUUUGGAGGUCCUGUUGAGAGAACGCACUCAAAUUUCUACACGUUUGUAGACACUAAGCCAAAACCCAAAUCAACUCUUUAUCUGAAAUAAAAGAUUGUUGCUUAAUUCAUUUAUUUUCAAAGGAAAAAUAAAAAUGAAAAAUUAAAUAAAUUCUCAUAAUAAUUUCAUUUAGAAAUAGUAUUAUUAUUUUUCUUAACAAAGUACCCUUUAAAAAAAAACUCAAAAGACUUGCCAAUACUAGCCAAUCAAAUCCUUCCUUCAAUUUUAGAAAACAGGAAUUGCAUGUAAACAAGUCUGGGCCAACUCUUACAACCUGCUUUCUAUAUCCUCCUCCUCUGUUCUCCAUCUUUCCUAGUUCUUUGAGCCCCAGUGGUCAGGCUGAGCUGAGUAUGAGAGAGGGCCCUCAAGAGGCCCUGGAAGCAUAUUCCCUCAGCUCCUAAAUGAAGUCUCCAUAAGGUGACCCUAGGAGACUGUGCAGCGUGACUGGCCGCUUGUUUUAUCCCAGACUCUUUUCCAGGGUCUUACUUCUGUCAUCCAGACUGGAGUGCAGCAGUGCGAUCUCAGCUCACUGCAACCUCCACCUCCCAGGUUUAAGCGACUCUCCUGCCUCAGCCUCCACAAUAACUGGGACCACAGGUGUGUGCCACCACACCUGGCUAAUUUUUGUAUUUUUUUUAUGGAGACAGAGUUUUACUGUGUUGGCCAGGGUGGUCUCGAACUUCUAACGUCAAAUGAUCCACCUGCCUCGGCCUCCCAAAGUACUGGGAUUACAGCCCACAUUUCUAAAAUAGGAAAAAUCCUGAACUGAGAAACACAUUGGUUCCAAGGGUUUCAGAUAAAGGAAUGUGAGAAUUGUACUAGCAUUAUAAAACAGGUUCUAUGCAAAGGACAUAUACUGUUGUUUCCAUGCAUUGUGUCAAUGCAAUCAAACAAAGGUUUUUUGCUUAUAGAGAAGCACAUUCAGUCUGUGGGAUGGUAUAUUUGAGUGAAUUUUUGCUAUCUACUCUCUCUUGCAUCUUGUUUUGAGUCAUAAAGGAAUUGUGUAGUAUUUUAUGCCACUUGAAAACUCGAAAGACUUCAACAGUUGUGUUAUGUGCAAAUCAGAUAAGGCUCUAAUAGGCUUUAUCUUGCUUGUGUAUAGUACCUGUUUGCAAACUAAAGGCACAUUUUCACUCCAUGCCAGUAGGAAUCCUCUGAGGCAUUAUUUUUUGGGCCCCUCCCACUUUAUGUACUGAAAGCAGAAUGGAUGAAAUGCCUUGACACAUAACUUACUUAUCUUUUCUUACUCAACAUUCUAAUGUGUUCUCACUGGUAAAGGAAUGCAGAUUUUUUGAAGGAUCUGGAGAAGCCAGACUCUGCUGGUAUUCAGACAAUUACUCUAGAUAGAGAGAGGAAGUCCUCUUGUUGUGAGUCCAGUGGCUUGGUGGUUCGUAUCCUGGAUUCCUGGUAGUCCAUAGGAGCAACAGGGACUAGAAAUGGCUUUGUUUCAAAGUUCUCUGCUUAUUCUAGAGAGGAAAUAAAAAUAUCACUUAAUAGUAUUUAGAGACCAGUGUGAACUAAGAUACUGGCUUUAAACCAAAAUGGCCAGCUCUGUUGAUCAUAUAGAUUUGAAUGUGGCUAACAUCAUUCAGUGACGUACUGAGCACCUACCAAAUGUAGGGCAUUGCGCUGUACUCUGGGACACAAAGGUAACUCAAACUUUUUUUUUUUUGAGGGGAAAGAGAGAAUGUGAAAUUUAAUAUGAAAGUUGAGACUGAUAUGAAAUGAAAGACAUGGUUGCCAUAGGAGAGGCAUAGAUAAAAGUACCAUUGCUUGCCCUUUAGAGAUGAAUGAAAUUUGUUCUUGCUGGGUGAUUAGGAGAGGCUUCAUAGAGGAGGUAGCAUUUGAGUGGACCUUGAAGUUUAUGUGGCUACAAAUUCCUUUUCCUAUAAAAUGCUAUUGUCAGGAAAUACAAAUAGGAAAUAUCUGGAGUUUGAGUCUCAUCCACUAGGUAGCUCUGCAGCAGUGAAGUCUAUAGGAUGACUUUUAAUCUGCAAAAUGGGGAUUGACCUGGAGGAUUGGUAAGGUUUUUUUUUUUUGCAGCUACUGAAACUCUGUGAUACUGCAAAUAAACUAUGGUCUUAGGAGAAUUUCAUGGCACUCUUAUUAUUUAUUCCUUCACAAUGUACAAAAUAAAUUCAUUGCUUUAGUUGAAAAUCAGAAGGCACCUGGGAAUCAAUUUGUCCUUAAAACAAAAUGGCUAUUUAUUAAAUAUGUGCAAUUCUUUGUUUAUUAAUUAUACCUCAAUAAACCUGUUUUAAAAAC
rnacentral:lncRNA from 1 species